GACGAACGCUGGCGGCGUGCUUAACACAUGCAAGUCGAACGGAAAGGCCCUGCUUUUGUGGGGUGCUCGAGUGGCGAACGGGUGAGUAACACGUGAGUAACCUGCCCUUGACUUUGGGAUAACUUCAGGAAACUGGGGCUAAUACCGGAUAGGAUCUCCUGCUGCAUGGUGGGGGUUGGAAAGUUUCGGCGGUUGGGGAUGGACUCGCGGCUUAUCAGCUUGUUGGUUGGGUAGUGGCUUACCAAGGCUUUGACGGGUAGCCGGCCUGAGAGGGUGACCGGCCACAUUGGGACUGAGAUACGGCCCAGACUCCUACGGGAGGCAGCAGUGGGGAAUAUUGCACAAUGGGCGGAAGCCUGAUGCAGCAACGCCGCGUGCGGGAUGACGGCCUUCGGGUUGUAAACCGCUUUCGCCUGUGACGAAGCGUGAGUGACGGUAAUGGGUAAAGAAGCACCGGCUAACUACGUG
rnacentral:rRNA from 1 species